UACAGAGGUCUCAAGCGUUGUUCGGAUUCAUUGGGCGUAAAGGGUGUGUAGGUGGCGCCGUAAGUCGGGUGUGAAAUUUCGGAGCUUAACUCCGAAACUGCAUUCGAUACUGCGGUGCUUGAGGACUGGAGAGGAGACUGGAAUUAUCGGUGUAGCAGUGAAAUGCGUAGAGAUCAUGAGGAAGACCAGUGGCGAAGGCGGGUCUCUGGACAGUUCCUGACACUGAGACGAAGGCCAGGGGAGCAAACGGGAUUAGA
rnacentral:rRNA from 1 species